ensembl:lincRNA
CAAAGGAAAAAGGACCAGAGCCUGGGCCCCUGCCACCAGCCCUUCUCACCCCAGCUCCUCCGAGGGCGCCCUUGGGCUCGGGCUGGCCCGCAGAGGUCAUCUUCAAGCUGUGGCUCCCAGGAAUUUAGCCAGAGAUUCUAGAAGGAGCAGGGAGAAGCCAGGAGAAACCCCAAUGCACCAGCCACGAUGGAACUUGGCAGCUUGACCCAGGCGACAUUGAUCAUCUCACACCAUUUCUGAGGUCAGGACGACAAGACAGCUGUGCUGCAACCUUUGUCACUGGUGGACCAUCAUCCACCUCGUGGACUCUCCUGCCUCCUCACUGUCUGCUGGAUUCCUUUCUUUUUUUCUUCCAUUUUUCUCCCUCCAGGCGGACCUGGAACUCGCGAUUCUCCUGCCUCAGCCUCUGGAGUAGCUGGAGUUGCAGGCGGAUACCCCGUGGUGUUUUCUCGUGGACUGCUUUCCUGGUUGGCGCUGGCUGUCCGGGGGAUGCUGGGUGCAUGGCUGUCCACUCUGCACACGUGUUUGGCAGGACACUUAUUGCAACUUUGCUGAAUUAAUCCACCCGAGAUGAGGUCACCCAUGUUAAGCCUUGGCUGCAGUGAAUUUCAAUAAAAGAAUUCAGCUGUACAC